UACAGAGGUGGCAAGCGUUGUUCGGAAUUACUGGGCGUAAAGGGCGCGUAGGCGGCCAUCUAAGUCAGACGUGAAAUCCCCCGGCUUAACCUGGGAACUGCGUCUGAUACUGGACGGCUUGAGUGCGGGAGAGGGAUGUGGAAUUCCAGGUGUAGCGGUGGAAUGCGCAGAUAUCAGGAGGAACACCGAUGGCGAAGGCAGGUCUCUGGGCCACUACUGACGCUGAGAAGCGAAAGCAUGGGGAGCGAACAGG
rnacentral:rRNA from 1 species